GAUGAACGCUGGCGGCGUGCCUAAUACAUGCAAGUCGAGCGAACAGACGAGGAGCUUGCUCCUCUGACGUUAGCGGCGGACGGGUGAGUAACACGUGGAUAACCUACCUAUAAGACUGGGAUAACUUCGGGAAACCGGAGCUAAUACCGGAUAAUAUAUUGAACCGCAUGGUUCAAUAGUGAAAGACGGUUUUGCUGUCACUUAUAGAUGGAUCCGGGCCGGAUUAGCUGGUUGGUAAGGUAACGGCUUACCAAGGCAACGAUGCCUAGCCGACGUGAUGGGGGGAUGCGCACAUGGGAACGGAGACACGGUCCAGACUCCUACGGGAGGCAGCAGUAGGGAAUCUUCCGCAAUGGGCGAAAGCUUGACGGAGCAACGCCGCGUGAGUGAUGAAGGUCUUCGGAUCGUAAAACUCUGUUAUUAGGGAAGAACAAAUGUGUAAGUAACUAUGCACGUCUUGACGGUACCGAAUCAGAAAGCCACGGCUAACUACGUG
rnacentral:rRNA from 1 species